rnacentral:rRNA from 1 species
AGCGAGCGUUUGCGGCGGGCUUAACACAUGCAAGUCGAACGGGCUGUUCCUUCGGGAGCAGUCAGUGGCGCACGGGUGCGUAACACGUAGGUAAUCAACCCUCUGGUUGGGGAUAACACUUCGAAAGGAGUGCUAAUACCCGGUAUGGCGCAGCGGUCUUCGGAUCGCGGCGAGAAAGACCCGCAAGGGUUGCCAGAGGACGAGCCUGCGGCCCAUCAGCUAGUUGGCGAGGUAACGGCUCACCAAGGCGAAGACGGGUAGCUGGUCUGAGAGGAUGAUCAGCCACACUGGAACUGAGACACGGUCCAGACUCCUACGGGAGGCAGCAGUGGGGAAUAUUGCGCAAUGGGCGAAAGCCUGACGCAGCCACGCCGCGUGAGCGAUGAAGGCCU